CGCGUAGGCGGCUUUAUAAGUCUGGAGUGAAAGUCCUCUUUUCAAGGGAGGAAUUGCUUUGGAAACUAUAGAGCUUGAGUGCAGGAGAGGUUAUCGGAAUUCCCGGUGUAGCGGUGAAAUGCGUAGAGAUAUGGAGGAACACCAGUGGCGAAGGCGGCUUCCUGGUCUGUAACUGACACUGAGGCGCGAAAGCGUGGGGAGCAAACA
rnacentral:rRNA from 1 species